rnacentral:rRNA from 1 species
AACGAACGCUGGCGGCAGGCUUAACACAUGCAAGUCGAGCGCCCCGCAAGGGGAGCGGCAGACGGGUGAGUAACGCGUGGGAACGUACCCUUUGCUACGGAAUAGCUCCGGGAAACUGGAAUUAAUACCGUAUGUGCCCUACGGGGGAAAGAUUUAUCGGCAAAGGAUCGGCCCGCGUUGGAUUAGCUAGUUGGUGGGGUAAUGGCCUACCAAGGCGACGAUCCAUAGCUGGUCUGAGAGGAUGAUCAGCCACAUUGGGACUGAGACACGGCCCAAACUCCUACGGGAGGCAGCAGUGGGGAAUAUUGGACAAUGGGCGCAAGCCUGAUCCAGCCAUGCCGCGUGAGUGAUGAAGGCCUUAGGGUUGUAAAGCUCUUUCACCGGGGAAGAUAAUGACGGUACCCGGAGAAGAAGCCCCGGCUAACUUCGUGCCAGCAGCCGCGGUAACAC